AGCUUUCUCUCUACGAUCACCCUUUUCCGCGGGGAUCUAUUUCAUUCUUCCCUCCCAAUCUCAUUCAUUUUGGCUUUAUAGUGCAAACGAAUAGAAGAUCCACACUACAUGGGUGGAGGAUAACUCUGUGGGUUAUGCAAAUUAGGGCUUAGGAAAUCGAUUGAUUUGCGGAAAAGGGCUUCGAUAAUUUUGCCCAUACAGAGUUGGCAUCCACGACUUUGAUCGGCAUCUCCUACAGCCACCACCAACCAACACAGGGAAGUCAUAACACAACUAAUUUUUCUCCCUCUAUGUGUCUCACCACCACAUUAGAGGAACCUCUAGCCACGCCAUCAUGAUUCUCAACUCAACUAGGCUAUUUGCACGGUGCCUUCCCUCUCAGGUUACCAAGUGAUUUCUAUUGAUAUUCAAUGGGGAUGGAAUCAUCACAAGUGGAUUCAAGCAUUUGAGAAGUUCUCGGAUGCUAUCAAUGUUCAUCAUGCUCAACGACCGCAUAAAAAUUUGAAAGAACUAUUGGAUAAAUAUGAAGAAGAACUACCCAUGAAUAAAAGGGUCCUAAAGCUAAUGACAAACAAUGUGAAGAAGAAGAAUUAUCCAUGAAGAAGAAUUUUCAUAUGAUUUGAUUUGUAAUUUUUUUUAU